AAACAUGAAAUUUAUUAGGAUACAAGUCCGAUAAUGAAGGAAAGCAAAUGGAGACAUCUGAGCUGGGUUCCUUUGCACAAUACAUCACCCUGGUGAGGAAGAAGAUGCACUUUUGGAUUACAAGAUGCUGUAGAACCACAUGGACAUAAUCACAUAAUCAUGGUCCUUAAAGAAUUUUAAAUGUUUUUUUUCUUUAUCUGAUGGCUCCAUUGCAGACAGACUUGGCUGUGUCCACACCAGAGCAUGAGACCGUCACUGUUUUUUGGUUAUGUCAGUGAACUAUCUUCACUCCCUCCCACCAAGAAGCAUAGGAAUGUAUUCACCACCAGAUUAAAACCAGCAUCAAUUUGACUCUCUGCUCUACUGCACUCUAAGUUCUGUGAAUAUUAAUAGAAAUUUAUUUGUUGGAUGGUUGACUGCUUAAAUUCAUCUGCCGUUCCUCGGUUGGAGUCAUUCAGGCCAUUAAUGUUGAGCACGCGCCCACUCAAGUAGGGGCCAAGUGUAGGUCACAGGCAUGCAGCCAGUGUGUGUAACUAAAGGUCAGACUUGUAAAAUCCAGCACAUAAGAGAUGGUGUAAUACCGCCUAAAUUGAUGAUUUUGAAUAUAUUUUAGGUGCAAAGUGAUAUAGCAGCAGCUGAUUUUUCAUUCACAUUCAAUAACCUUCAAGCCCCAGGUCUAACAACCACCUUCCUGUGAGUGUCACCUACUGCUCCUAUGCUAUCCAUGCAGUGCAGGCGCCUCUCAUGGGUUCCAUCAUGUCAUCUGCAAUGGUGAGGUGCUACCAGGAACAUCACUGCAGAAGGGUGUGUAGUUAUCUGGUGACAGACUUAAUUAACUAUGUCAUGCAGUCACUGUGCAGUCAUAGACCAAUUACUUAACUUCUCAGGGCCUGUGCUUACUCAUUUGUAAGAUGGGGAUAAUAAUAACCUUGUAGAGCUGUUUUGGGUGAAAUGACUUCAAAGAAAGAGGUAAAGCUUUGGAAAAGCACCUGGAAGAGUGCAAAUGCCGAGUUAUCAAUUAUUGUUUUCAAAAGGAGUUGGACAAACUAAAUCACUUCAGUGAGAGCAUCAACGAUAAAUAAGUAAGCAGGGUGCAGUGGCUCAUGCCUGUAAUCCCAGCAUUUUGGGAGGCCAGGGUGGGUGAAUCACUUGGGGUCAGGAGUUCCAGACCAGCCUGG
rnacentral:lncRNA from 1 species